rnacentral:lncRNA from 1 species
CGAGAGAAGGUGGUGAUGAUGCCUGAAUUGAUAAGAGAGUGACUUCAAAUUACAGCUGUUCUCACUCUGUCUCUUUGCUAGUUGCUACCCAAACCCAAACCGCGUUUUCUCUCGUCACACUCACUCGUAAUCAUCUUUUAACCAAAAUAAUUGUUUCUCCACAAUUUGUGUUAUUUUAAAAAGGAGUAUAUAGAAAUUUGUCUGAUUUUUUUUUUCUUUUUCAUAAGAAAUAGAUAUAAUUCGUUCUUUUUGGAAGAUUUUCAAACUGGUAUAGCAUUAUUUAAGUUUCCAACUAAAUUUCUGUCCAUUCAUAAUCCACAGCAAUAUAUAUAAAUUUAUGCGAACAAAUAUGUAUAUGCUAAGAUUUGAUAUAAACAACUAAAUGAGAGUAAAAAGCAUCAUGUAGCUUUAAGACACGCAAAGAUAUGCACAUGAUCAUAUGUAGGAAAAGAUGAUAGAUGACAUGUUAGCCUUGACUUUCUCACGAAGCUUACGACUAAUCAUGGGAUGGUACUUUGUUGUCUUCGUCUUGAGAUUUCACACUUCGGUCUUACGCAAAACUCAGCAAAUGUCAGAGCGUAUGAAAGAAUAUGGGCGUAUUUUGUCAGCUUUCCAGAAAACAAUAUGCGUUUGCAUGAAGAGAAAAGAAGCAUCUGGAUCGUGGCUUCUUUCAGUUUCACUUUUGAGUUGUAACACUUGCCCAUUUUUCUGGUCCUCUGACAUUUAUUUCAGUGAAAUUUUAGAAUUGAACAAGAAUCUAGAAACUUGUCAAUGAUACACAACUGGUAUAUUAAUUCUGAAAUGUGAAAACAACACUAUCUGAGUUAUGAGUCAGAAAACAAAUGUUAUCUUGAUGACCCAUGAAUUAACUGGCACCGUACUGCUUUCGUACCUACUCUCAACACGGACUUAAAGAGAUCACUACAACACAAUCUCGACCUCAAUAAGUUUUACAUUAAUUUUUUUUGUGUCUAUAUCUUUAUAACAAACUCGGAGGAUUAGUAUGUUACAGCAUGGCUAGGAAAUUUCGAGGAAGACGAAACUUUUUUAUAAAAGAAAUUACGUUGAAUGCCUUUAAUUUAUUUUUCUUUUCAUUAAAUAUGUACCAUGUACGUUGAAGGUUCAGCCAUGUAUAAUGGAUCCAGUGAACUAGUUUCAACCACCAAAUCUUUUUUUGUAUAUCCAAAUCUAUGAUUUAGUCGGUUUUGAUAAAGUUAACAUUCAAGUGGGGACAUGAAAUAGGUUAUACUACAUACAUAUUAAUUGUCAUUUGGUAUAUUUAAAAAAGAAGACUCAGCUCAUACAUAUUUGUUCUCUCUAGCAAAAAGAAAAGAAAAGAAUGAUAUCUUUCUCUUUCCGUAUAUAAAAAGGCUUUAUAUUGUGAUUGUUCAAAGAUCGUUUGACAAAAGAUAGUUGAGAAGGCAUUGCAAGCCCAUUUACGAAUGUUUUGUACCAAAUGAUUAGUCAUAGGUCUAAUUUAAAAUUUCAACUAGAUUUUGUUUGGCGCUUUAAAAACCGGAAGAUUUGUUUUUUUUCUUUAUCAGAAUCAUAUUAAAAAAUAUUAUUAUGAUGUUAAUUUAAACAGUAUUUUGAAAUCAAAGCGAAGUCGAUUAGCCAGAUUGUACCAAUGGUGUCUCUUAAUUAACCGAAUCCAAGUUGAGCUAAUAAUCGGUUUUGAAUUAAAUAAAAAUAUUGUGCCAACACCGGUCAGCCAUAACACCUAGUUCAACUUCAACCAAAUACAAAACAUAAUUGGUUUAAUUUUGAUAUAUAAAUAAUGUGAAGAUUUAAAAAUUUAUUUAGACUGCUUACAUAUAUACAGUAGAAACUCUGCCAAUUAAUAAACACACAAUUAAUUAAUAAAUUUCUACGGUCCCAAGAUACAAAUCGAUAAAAUAAUAAAGUAUAUUUUUGUAGAAAGUCCUAUGUAAAUAUAUGGUCUCAUUGUAAUCAUAAAUCAAUAAUUAUAUAUAUAUAUAGUUUAUAUAUGUACAAAAAAUUGUAUUGUAUUUUAUAUUCACAGUAAAAUUCAUCAUUGUUUUUAGUACUUAAAUAUAUUUUUGGUGACCUUUAGUAAAAUUAUAUCUAAAACAAAAUUUUAAUUUUAUGAAACAUAUUUUAUAUACACCAAAUAAUAUAAUAGAGUGAAAUAUAGAUUAAUGUUGUUUUCACUCCAAAUAUAGAGUAAAAAACAAUACUACUCAAUAUUCCACUUUAACUCUAUUAUAAAAUGAACUAUUAGAUCAAAUCUAACUCUGUAAUAGAGUUACUCUAUUUUAGAAUGAAAUAUAGAAAACAUUUUUGUGUCCCAUUGGAGAUGUCUUUAGGUAAGUUUACAUGCUUCACGUGAGUGAGAUUCAUGAAAUGCGUUUGGUGCGUUGUGACUAUCUGUGGAGGAGCGUUUCGAGCGGUUGAUUUUGUCUGAAUGUGGUUUGUGUGUAUCCCCUUGGAAAAGAUAUUCUAUCUAUCUACUCAAAAGCCUUGUUCAAAAAUGUGUUCUAGGUGGACGUUUAAUCGCCGCAAAUCUGUUACACAGACAUCAACCGUUGCGAGUUGACCAUGUUCGGUGUAUUACUCAGGCUGUGUAAACAGUUCACGAUUUUGAAGAUUUCAAUGUUAAAAUAACAUGAUAUGUUAGAGACCUGAUGAAUUUCGAUUAAAUCUUAGAAGAUUAAAGAGAAAAAACCUUGAAAUCGUCAAAAAAAAAAUAAAACGUAAAACAGCUGCAGCUUCAGAAAACAAAGGUUGAAGACGAGGGAUGUGGUCAUUUUACUCAUUAACCCUUAAAAUGAAAAAAAAAAAGAUCAAAACAUAUAUAGUCCCCUGGACUCAAACCGCCCAACUCUUCGUCAUUAAAGCCAAGAUAAACCACUAGACCGAUCAGAACAACAUGUUAACUUCCCAUAUUUAAAUAUAUAGCCAUUGAAAUUGUAUAAAAACCCUAUAAUUAAUUUCCGUAUAAUCCCUGAAUAAUAGAUUAGACGCUAGGUGGUACCUCAUCAUACGUGUUACGCCUAGCGCGAUUAUGAACAGGGUUCAAAAGUGAUUCCACCUGCUGGCUGAUUCUCGGUUGGCAUCUCGUAGGGUUCAAAAGUGAUUCCACCUGCUGGCUGAUUCUCGGUAGGCAUCUCGUUAUACGGGUCACCUAAUUUAUUUAAUGCGAU